rnacentral:rRNA from 1 species
GACGAACGCUGGCGGCGUGCCUAAUACAUGCAAGUCGAGCGGGCCUCCGGAGGUGCUUGCACCUCCGGAAGGCCAGCGGCGGACGGGUGAGUAACACGUGGGCAACCUGCCUUUGAGGCCGGGAUAACACCGGGAAACCGGUGCUAAUAUCGGAUACGUCCUCUUUCGCGCCUGCGAGAGGGGAGAAAGACGGUUCGUAAGGCCGUAGCUCCAAGAGGGGCCCGCGGCGCAUUAGAUGGUUGGUGGGGCAAGGGCCUACCAAGGCGACGAUGCGUUGCCGACCUGAGAGGGUGAUCGGCCACACUGGGACUGAGACACGGCCCAGACUCCUGCGGGAGGCAGCAGUAGGGAAUCAUCCGCAAUGGGCGAAAGCCUGACGGUGCAACGCCGCGUGAGUGAGGAAGGUUUUCGGAUCGUAAAGCUCUGUUGUGAGGGAAGAACAGCAUCCGGAGGAAAUGCCGGAGGUUUGCCGGUACCUCACCAGAAAGCCCCGGCUAACUACGUGCCAGCAGCCGCGGUAAUAC